ACGGGUGAGUAAUGCCUAGGAAAUUGCCUUGAUGUGGGGGAUAACCAUUGGAAACGAUGGCUAAUACCGCAUAAUGCCUACGGGCCAAAGAGGGGGACCUUCGGGCCUCUCGCGUCAAGAUAUGCCUAGGUGGGAUUAGCUAGUUGGUGAGGUAAUGGCUCACCAAGGCGACGAUCCCUAGCUGGUCUGAGAGGAUGAUCAGCCACACUGGAACUGAGACACGGUCCAGACUCCUACGGGAGGCAGCAGUGGGGAAUAUUGCACAAUGGGCGAAAGCCUGAUGCAGCCAUGCCGCGUGUAUGAAGAAGGCCUUCGGGUUGUAAAGUACUUUCAGUUGUGAGGAAGGGGGNANAGUUAAUA
rnacentral:rRNA from 1 species